AUUGAACGCUGGCGGCAGGCCUAACACAUGCAAGUCGAGCGGAGCGGCGGACGGGUGAGUAAUGCCUAGGUAUCUGCCUGGUCGUGGGGGAUAACGUCCGGAAAUGGGCGCUAAUACCGCACACUUUCACAUGAGUCUAGAUCGGAUUAGGUAGUUGGUGGGGUAAAGGCCUACCAAGGCGACGAUCCGUAACUGGUCUGAGAGGAUGAUCAGUCACACUGGAACUGAGACACGGUCCAGACUCCUACGGGAGGCAGCAGUGGGGAAUAUUGGACAAUGGGCGAAAGCCUGAUGCAGCCAUGCCGCGUGUAUGAAGAAGGUCUUCGGGUUGUAAAGCACUUUAAGCGGGGAGGCGUUACCAGCAGAAGAAGCACCGGCUAACUCCGUGCCAGCAGCCGCGGUAAUAC
rnacentral:rRNA from 1 species